GGAGCCAUAGCUCAGUGGGUAGAGCAAUCUGCUCUGCAUGCAGACAGUCCCAGGUUCAAUUCCCUGCAUCUCCA